rnacentral:tRNA from 1 species
GGAGGGGUGCCGGAGCCUGGCUGAACGGGGCCGACUCGAAAUCGGCUUGGCGGUUAGCCCCGCCACGGGGGUUCGAAUCCCUCCCCCUCCGCCA